UCUGAGUCCGGGUCGCGCGG
rnacentral:miRNA from 1 species